rnacentral:rRNA from 1 species
UACGAAGGGGGCUAGCGUUGUUCGGAAUCACUGGGCGUAAAGCGCACGUAGGCGGACUUUUAAGUCAGAGGUAAAAGCCUGGAGCUCAACUCCAGAACUGCCUUUGAUACUGGGAGUCUCGAGUUCGGAAGAGGUUGGUGGAACUGCGAGUGUAGAGGUGAAAUUCGUAGAUAUUCGGAAGAACACCAGUGGCGAAGGCGGCUCACUGGACUGGUAUUGACGCUGAGGUGCGAAAGCGUGGGGAGCAAACAGG